UACGUAGGUGACCAGCGUUGUCCGGAUUUACUGGGCGUAAAGAGCGCGCAGGCGGUCGUUCAAGUCGAGUGUGAAAGCCCCCGGCUCAACUGGGGAGGGUCACUUGAUACUGAUCGACUCGAAGGCAGGAGAGGGAAGCGGAAUUCCCGGUGUAGUGGUGAAAUGCGUAGAUAUCGGGGAGGAACACCAGUGGCGAAGGCGGCUUCCUGGCCGUGUUCUUGGACGCUGAGGCGGCGAAA
rnacentral:rRNA from 1 species